AACCGCGAGACAUUACCGAGUUUACACUCCCAACCCAUUGUGAACGUUACCAAACUGUUGCCUCGGCGGGAUCUCUGCCCCGGGUGCGUCGCAGCCCCGGACCAAGGCGCCCGCCGGAGGACCAACCAAAACUCUUUAUUGUAUACCCCCUCGCGGGUUUUUUUAUAAUCUGAGCCUUCUCGGCGCCUCUCGUAGGCGUUUCGAAAAUGAAUCAAAACUUUCAACAACGGAUCUCUUGGUUCUGGCAUCGAUGAAGAACGCAGCGAAAUGCGAUAAGUAAUGUGAAUUGCAGAAUUCAGUGAAUCAUCGAAUCUUUGAACGCACAUUGCGCCCGCCAGUAUUCUGGCGGGCAUGCCUGUCCGAGCGUCAUUUCAACCCUCGAACCCCUCCGGGGGGUCGGCGUUGGGGAUCGGCCCUGCCUUUGGCGGUGGCCGUCUCCGAAAUACAGUGGCGGUCUCGCCGCAGCCUCUCCUGCGCAGUAGUUUGCACACUCGCAUCGGGAGCGCGGCGCGUCCACAGCCGUUAAACACCCAACUUCUGAAAUGUUGACCUCGGAUCAGGGUAGGAAUACCCGCUGAACUUAAGCAUAUCAAAUUAAGCGGGAGGA
rnacentral:rRNA from 1 species